CGUGUAGGCGGCUUGACAAGUCAGAUGUGAAAUCCCUGGGCUUAACCCAGGAAGUGCAUUUGAAACUGUUUGGCUGGAGUAAGGGAGAGGAAAGUGGAAUUCCUGGUGUAGAGGUGAAAUUCGUAGAUAUCAGGAGGAACACCGGUGGCGAAGGCGACUUUCUGGCCCCAUACUGACGCUGAGACGCGAAAGCGUGGGUAGCAAACA
rnacentral:rRNA from 1 species